rnacentral:rRNA from 1 species
AGAGUUUGAUCAUGGCUCAGGAUGAACGCUAGCUACAGGCUUAACACAUGCAAGUCGAGGGGAAACGAUAUUGGAAGCUUGCUUCCGAUAGGCGUCGACCGGCGCACGGGUGAGUAACGCGUAUCCAACCUGCCCAUCACUUGGGGAUAACCUUGCGAAAGUAAGACUAAUACCCAAUGACGUCUCUAGAAGACAUCUGAAGGAGAUUAAAGAUUUAUCGGUGAUGGAUGGGGAUGCGUCUGAUUAGCUUGUUGGCGGGGUAACGGCCCACCAAGGCAACGAUCAGUAGGGGUUCUGAGAGGAAGGUCCCCCACAUUGGAACUGAGACACGGUCCAAACUCCUACGGGAGGCAGCAGUGAGGAAUAUUGGUCAAUGGGCGAGAGCCUGAACCAGCCAAGUAGCGUGCAGGAAGACGGCCCUAUGGGUUGUAAACUGCUUUUAUAAGGGAAUAAAGUGAGUCUCGUGAGACUUUUUGCAUGUACCUUAUGAAUAAGGACCGGCUAAUUCCGUGCCAGCAGCCGCGGUAAUACGGAAGGUCCGGGCGUUAUCCGGAUUUAUUGGGUUUAAAGGGAGCGUAGGCCGGAGAUUAAGCGUGUUGUGAAAUGUAGACGCUCAACGUCUGCACUGCAGCGCGAACUGGUUUCCUUGAGUACGCACAAAGUGGGCGGAAUUCGUGGUGUAGCGGUGAAAUGCUUAGAUAUCACGAAGAACUCCGAUUGCGAAGGCAGCUCACUGGAGCGCAACUGACGCUGAAGCUCGAAAGUGCGGGUAUCGAACAGGAUUAGAUACCCUGGUAGCCCGCACGGUAAACGAUGGAUGCCCGCUGUUGGUCUGAACAGGUCAGCGGCCAAGCGAAAGCAUUAAGCAUCCCACCUGGGGAGUACGCCGGCAACGGUGAAACUCAAAGGAAUUGACGGGGGCCCGCACAAGCGGAGGAACAUGUGGUUUAAUUCGAUGAUACGCGAGGAACCUUACCCGGGCUUGAAUUGCAGAGGAAGGAUUUGGAGACAAUGACGCCCUUCGGGGUCUCUGUGAAGGUGCUGCAUGGUUGUCGUCAGCUCGUGCCGUGAGGUGUCGGCUUAAGUGCCAUAACGAGCGCAACCCCUCUCCUUAGUUGCCAUCAGGUUAAGCUGGGCACUCUGGGGACACUGCCACCGUAAGGUGUGAGGAAGGUGGGGAUGACGUCAAAUCAGCACGGCCCUUACGUCC